UGUGUGCGCGCGCGCGCGCGCGCUGGUGGGGCCCGGGGGCCUCGCAUCCACAUCCGGUAGCCAAGGCAAAAGCCCCGCCUCGAAUUCCUGGGAGCAGGAAUCCUCGGCGUCAGCUGUCUCCCUGCUUCCUCCUUCCUUUUCUUUUCUUGGACCUCAUUCCCCUCCCUCGAGCUGGAGGCUCUGAAAAUCCCUCCCAAAUUUGUCCCCAAAGAGCCUGCCAGCCUCACCAAGAGACUUUGGAAUAUUGAGGAGCUGGAGGCGCGCGGGGGGUGGGGGGUGGGGUAGUAUGUUUCUUUUAAAGGAGAAAGGGCAGGGGGUGGCCAGAGAUUUCCGGAGCCACAAAUCAACCACUAAGAGUAGGAAGAACAGCCUCCUUAGACACUGGACAAAGAAGUAGCCCUUCCUCCCUCCGCCCCCAGCACCAUCUCUGGCGCCUUCCACGGGACAGAGAGCGACGGCGCGUCCUGAAAUGGAUGUGCUGGGCAGUCCGGUGCUGUGCUGAGAAAUCCUGAGAGCGGUGGCCCAGGCAGCUCAGUGAAGCCAAGCAAUUUGCCCACAGUCACACAGAGAGCGUCAGAAUCAGGAUUCAAGCUCUUUUUCCACCAUCCCAGGGUGCCUCCCAGGAAAAUCAGAAAUCAAGAAUCCGUAUCAGCAGCAGCUUGACAAACAAUGGGAGUGGCAGGGAACGGAGCCCUCUGACCAGCUUUCUGGGGUAAUCUGGUGGCUUGGGGCACUCAAGGGCCUCCCAGGGUGUGAUGGGAAAAGGCAGGGGCCAUGCCUGCUGGCUCCCCCACCAGCCCUUUUUGGAGACCUCCACUUGGGCCGACAGCCCAGCCCCUUCCGGCUCAUGAUCAGAAAUAGCUGUGACAAAGGUCCCUCCCAUCCCUGAAAGUGGCUUUUUAAAAAAUGCUUAAAGGCAGACACAUACAAAGGUGGAGAGAAUCCUGCAAAGACCCGUGGAAGGCACACGGGCAGAAGUUCUGCCCAGCUCUGCUUUGUGGUCCAGCUCCCUCUGGGCCUCGGUUUCCCCAUCUCUAAAAUGAAAGCAUUCAGCUGAA